CGACCGUCGUACUAGUACGACGCUGUAGAGCGAAGCUGCCUAUCGUGAUCGUGGGGUCCGUAUCGAGUCCCAGUGGCUCUGUCGUGGACCGCUGGCUGUUCGCGGGCUGCUGGGGGCUGCCUGGAACCGGCACGUGAUUCGAGGCGGGAAAAAUCGAACGAAAGGAGACGCACGGGGAAUAGUUUCAGGCGAGAACAUUUUGGUUGAAAAUGCUGCGCCGCGCGAGAGGAAGAACUGUGGACGAAGCGCUCCACGAGCUGUUUCUGAGUUCAGACAGCGAUGUGGAGCCGUCAGUGAGUAGCGACAGCGACGAGGAGGGUCUAUGGACGCCAGCAAGGGCCAGAGUUCAGAACGAAACUGCGCCUGAUGUGAGUGGCGGAGCAAGCGCCAGUGUCGAUGAGUACGUCGCGGAGCACGCGGACAUCGAUGUUGCGAAUGAAGCGCAGCCGGCGGACGUCCGUGACAGCAGUAGCAGCAGUAGUACUAGUGGCACGGAGAGCGACGAUGAUGAACAGGCGUCCGAGAGGUCGCAUGUCCACAUCCAGGAGCAGCUUGCCGCAGGAGACGAUGGGAGCGAAGGGCAAUGGAAGAUGGAAGAAAACCAGCCCUUGCAAGACUCGUUCACUGCCCAGCCCGGUAUCAAGGUGCCAGUGCCAGAAAAUGCUGAGCCAUAUCAUUAUUUUUGCCUGUUUUUUACUUUACAAUUUUGGCAAUUGCUCUGCACUGAGACCAAUCGAUUUGCCCAGCAAUAUCUAAAUGCACACC